AUUGAACGCUGGCGGAAUGCUUUACACAUGCAAGUCGAACGGCAGCACGGGAGCUUGCUCCUGGUGGCGAGUGGCGAACGGGUGAGUAAUACAUCGGAACGUACCCUGACGUGGGGGAUAACACAUCGAAAGAUGUGCUAAUACCGCAUACGACCUGAGGGUGAAAGGGGGGGAUCGCAAGACCUCUCGCGUUUGGAGCGGCCGAUGUCGGAUUAGCUAGUUGGUGAGGUAAAGGCUCACCAAGGCGACGAUCUGUAGCGGGUCUGAGAGGAUGAUCCGCCACACUGGGACUGAGACACGGCCCAGACUCCUACGGGAGGCAGCAGUGGGGAAUAUUGGACAAUGGGGGGAACCCUGAUCCAGCCAUGCCGCGUGUGUGAAGAAGGCCUUAUGGUUGUAAAGUACUUUAAGCGAGGAGGAGGCUACUGAGACUAAUACUCUUGGAUAGUGGACGUUACUCGCAGAAUAAGCACCGGCUAACUCUGUGCCAGCCGCCGCAGUAAGAC
rnacentral:rRNA from 1 species